GUGCCAGCCGCCGCGGUAAUACGUAGGGUGCGAGCGUUGUCCGGAAUUACUGGGCGUAAAGAGCUCGUAGGUGGUUUGUCGCGUUGUUCGUGAAAUCUCACGGCUUAACUGUGAGCGUGCGGGCGAUACGGGCAGACUAGAGUACUGCAGGGGAGACUGGAAUUCCUGGUGUAGCGGUGGAAUGCGCAGAUAUCAGGAGGAACACCGGUGGCGAAGGCGGGUCUCUGGGCAGUAACUGACGCUGAGGAGCGAAAGCGUGGGGAGCGAACA
rnacentral:rRNA from 1 species